GACGAACGCUGGCGGCGUGCUUAACACAUGCAAGUCGAGGGGAAACGACAUUGAAAGCUUGCUUUUGAUGGGCGUCGACCGGCGCACGUGUGAGUAACGCGUAUCCAACCUGCCCACCACUUGGGGAUAACCUUGCGAAAGUAAGACUAAUACCCAAUGAUAUCUCUAGAAGACAUCUGAAAGGGAUUAAAGAUUUAUCGGUGAUGGAUGGGGAUGCGUCUGAUUAGCUUGUUGGCGGGGUAACGGCCCACCAAGGCGACGAUCAGUAGGGGUUCUGAGAGGAAGGUCCCCCACAUUGGAACUGAGACACGGUCCAAACUCCUACGGGAGGCAGCAGUGAGGAAUAUUGGUCAAUGGACGAGAGUCUGAACCAGCCAAGUAGCGUGCAGGAUGACGGCCCUAUGGGUUGUAAACUGCUUUUAUAAGGGAAUAAAGUGAGUCUCGUGAGACUUUUUGCAUGUACCUUAUGAAUAAGGACCGGCUAAUUCCGUGCCAGCAGCCGCCGUAA
rnacentral:rRNA from 1 species